UACAGAGGCCCCAAGCGUUACUGAGAAUCACUGGGUUUAAAGGGUGCGUAGGUGGCGCGUUAAGUCCGUUGUGAAAGCCCUGGGCUCAACCCAGGAACUGCUUCGGAUACUGGCGCGCUCGAGGCUAGUAGGGGUCACUGGAACUGACGGUGGAGCGGUGAAAUGCGUAGAUAUCGUCAGGAACGCCAAUGGUGAAGACAGGUGACUGGGCUAGUUCUGACACUGAGGCACGAAAGCGUGGGGAGCGAACGGG
rnacentral:rRNA from 1 species